GUCAGAAUGGCCCAGUGGUAUAAGGCGUCAGACUCAAGUUCUAGUCCUCGUAAGAGGGUGUGGCUUCAAUUCCCACUUCUGACA
rfam:Picea glauca, whole genome shotgun sequence.